GAUGAACGCUGGCGGCGUGCCUAACACAUGCAAGUCGAACGGAGUCCAGCCUUUAAGACCUUCGGGUCAAAGAGGGGAAGACUGAGUGGCGGACGGGUGAGUAACACGUGGGCAACCUGGCUCAUAGAGGGGGAUAACAGAGAGAAAUUUCUGCUAAUACCGCAUAAGCACACACUGCCGCAUGGCAGAGGGUGAAAAGAGAAUCGCUAUGAGAUGGACCCGCGUCUGAUUAGCCAGUUGGCAGGGUAAGAGCCUACCAAAGCGACGAUCAGUAGCCGAUCUGAGAGGAUGAACGGCCACAUUGGGACUGAGACACGGCCCAAACUCCUACGGGAGGCAGCAGUGGGGGAUAUUGCACAAUGGGGGGAGCCCUGAUGCAGCGACGCCGCGUGAGUGAAGAAGUAUUUCGGUAUGUAAAGCUCUAUCAGCAGGGAAGAUAAUGACAGUACCUGAAUAAGAAGCCCCGGCUAACUACGU
rnacentral:rRNA from 1 species